UUUAGCGAUAGGUUUAGUGAUAGGUUUAGAUUCUACAUAGUCAUAAUUGAAAUAAGUAGAAAAAAUAUGAAGAAUAGAAGAAGAAUAAGUAGAUAAGGGAAGAAGAAUAAGAAGAGGAGGAGGAGGAGGAUAAAAAGAAGAAGAAGAAGAAGAAGAAGAAAAAGAGGAGAGAGCAGAAGAAUAAAGAAGACGAAAAAGGAAAAGUAGGAAGAAGAAGAAGAAGAAGAAGAAGAAGAAGAGGGAAAUGGAAAAGAAGGAAGAAGAAGAAUAAAGAGGAAGGAAGGAAGAAGAAGAAGAAGAG
rnacentral:lncRNA from 1 species